rnacentral:misc_RNA from 1 species
GAUGAAGAACGCAGCGAAAUGCGAUAAGUAGUGUGAAUUGCAGAAUUCAGUGAAUCAUCGAAUCUUUGAACGCACAUUGCGCCCCUUGGUAUUCCGGGGGGCAUGCCUGUUCGAGCGUCAUUACAACCCUCAAGCUCUGCUUGGUCUUGGGCGUCACCGGUCCCCGGUGUGCCUUAAAAUCAGUGGCGGCGCCAUCUGGCUCUAAGCGUAGUACAUACUCUCGCUACAGACGUCCGGUGGAUGCUGGCCAGCAACCCCCAAUUUAUCAAGGUUGACCUCGGAUCAGGUAGGGAUACCCGCUGAACUUAAGCAUAUCAAUAAGCGGAGGA